rnacentral:tmRNA from 1 species
GGGGGCGACCAGGUUUCGACGUGGGUAGCGAAGCAGUGCAGGGCAUACCGAGGGCCAGUCACCUCGUAAAUACAACUGGAACACUAUAAACGCAAACGACUCGCGUUACGCUCUAGCCGCUUAAUACCGGCUGGACUCUGCACCGGUUUUCUCAUGGGCCGGGCGCGCAUUUGGUAACAGGUGCCGCAGCAGAGUCAUAUUCAUGGGAUCGUGCUGUGCAGGGUCGCUUUGCACCGCAUUAAAUCCAAGGUGACUCGUCGCGUGCCAGCCCGCCGGUUGGCGUGCCCGCGGCUAAAUCAAAUAACCAGGCUAAGUAUGUAGAACUGGCUGUAGAGGACUUGCGGACGCGGGUUCGAUUCCCGCCGCCUCCACCA